GUGCCCGGACCCUGCCGCACCACGAGGCGCUGUUGGCGAGUCGGGUUGUUUGGGAAUGCAGCCCCAAUCGGGCGGUAAAUUCCGUCUAAGGCUAAAUACGGGCGAGAGACCGAUAGCAAACAAGUACCGCGAGGGAAAGAUGAAAAGGACUUUGAAAAGAGAGUCAAAGAGUGCUUGAAAUUGUCGGGAGGGAAGCGGAUGGGGCCCGGUGAUGCGCCCCGGUCGGAUGUGGAACGGCGAGAGCCGGUCCGCCGAUCAGCUCGGGGCGCAGACCAGCGCGGAUUGAGGCGGCGGCCAAAGCCCGGGCAGUCGAUAUGCCCGCGGAACGCCGUCGCCCCGAUCGUGGCGGACAGCGCGCGCCCACGGCGUGCCUCGGCAACUGCGCGCUCCCGGCGCUGGCCAGCGGGCUCCCCAUUCGACCCGUCAUGAAACACGGACCAAGGAGUCUGACAUGUGUGCGAGUCAACGGGCGAGCAAACCCGUAAGGCGUAAGGAAGCUGACCGGCGCGAUCCCCCCCGAGGG